rnacentral:rRNA from 1 species
CCUACGGGUGGCAGCAGUGGGGGAUAUUGCACAAUGGGGGAAACCCUGAUGCAGCGACGCCGCGUGGGCGAAGAAGUAUUUCGGUAUGUAAAGCCCUAUCAGCAGGGAAGAAGAAAUGACGGUACCUGAGUAAGAAGCACCGGCGAAAUACGUGCCAGCAGCCGCGGUACUACGUAUGGUGCAAGCGUUAUCCGGAUUUACUGGGUGUAAAGGGAGCGCAGGCGGCACGUCAAGCCUGAUGGGAAAGCCCGCGGCCCAACAGCGGGACUGCAUGGGGAACUAGCGGGCUGGAGUGCCGGGGAGGUAGGCGGAAUUGCUAGGGGAGCGGUGAAAUGCGAAGAUAU